rnacentral:rRNA from 1 species
CACGUAGGGGGCGAGCGUUGUCCGGAUUUAUUGGGCGUAAAGAGCUCGUAGGCGGCUAAGUAAGUCGGGUGUGAAAACUCCAGGCUCAACCUGGAGACGCCACCCGAUACUGCUUUGGCUAGAGUCCGGUAGGGGAGCAUGGAAUUCCUGGUGUAGCGGUGAAAUGCGCAGAUAUCAGGAGGAACACCAGUGGCGAAGGCGGUGCUCUGGGCCGGUACUGACGCUGAGGAGCGAAAGCGUGGGGA